rnacentral:lncRNA from 10 species
GAUAUAUGUUUGGUCCAUUAAAAAUGAAAGUUGACAAUUUUUUCAAAUUCCAUUUCAAGAGAAAAUUUACAUAGAAAAGAAUGAACUUGAAUGCAUGUAAUUCUUAGAUAGACAAAAUAAUCUCUGAACUGGUAUGAAAAAUACCUGCUACUACCUGCCAUGAUAAUAUUAGCUUUGUGAUCUUGGACAAACCACUAAAACACCAUUGAACCUUUUUUUGCUCAUCCAUAGAGGUAUAAUGACAUUCACCUCAUUAUUAGAGCUGUUAGGUUAAAUUAAAAGAUUGUGUAUUAUUAUUGUCAUAUAUUUAGUGACUAUUCAGGUCUAAAAUCCAGAUCUUCAAAUUUCUCAUUCAUUAUUUGUUAAUUGUUCUAGUUUGUUUUGGUUGAGGGAAUCAGAAUAAUAAAGGAUUUGAAACCAAAAAAAAAAAAAAGAAAAAAAAAAGAAACCUAAGGACAAGUGAUUUUUUUAAUUUAAAGAUGUUCAUAAAACAUUUUAUAGCAUCUUUUUGUCAGCAUCAUUAAGUUAGUGUUUCUUUCCACAAACUUACUCCUAAGGCAUACAAAAUGGGAAACUUCUGGGAAUAAAGGAACUUCACAGAACCAUUGAAAGUAACUACAUAUUUUAGAUGUGAUAUGUUCUUGGCUGAUGAAUAUUUGCCUUUCUAAGUAAAUUUCUCCCUGCUCCAUCAUUAUCAAUUUAUAUCUGAAAAUAGGGAACUGUGUAAAUCUAGAAGACAGACAAAUUGCUUGUGAAUCUAACAGAGAGUGCAAAGUGCAGUCAGUUCCCUCUGGGAUGAUCCUACAAACUUGACAUUACACAGAUAUUGAACUAUCUUUAUUCAGUAAGAAGGCUUUUUAAAAAUUAUAUUUCUGGGAA